GAUGAACGCUGGCGGCGUGCCUAAUACAUGCAAGUCGAGCGAACAGACGAGGAGCUUGCUUCUCUGACGUUAGCGGCGGACGGGUGAGUAACACGUGGAUAACCUACCUAUAAGACUGGGAUAACUUCGGGAAACCGGAGCUAAUACCGGAUGAUAUAUUGAACCGCAUGGUUCAAUAGUGAAAGACGGUUUUGCUGUCACUUAUAGAUGGAUCCGCGCUGCAUUAGCUAGUUGGUAAGGUAACGGCUUACCAAGGCAACGAUGCAUAGCCGACCUGAGAGGGGGGACCGCCAAACCGGAAACGGGACACCGUUCAGAACCCCUAGGGAGGCAGGCAUAGGGGAUCCUUCCGCAAGGGGCGAAGGCUGGCGGAGGCAACGCCGGUUGGGGAAUGAAGUCUUCCGGUCCGUAAAACUCUGUAAUAGGGAAAAAACAAUGGGGAAGUAACCGAGCAAAGUUUGGCCGGUACCAAACCAGAAAGCAACGCUAAAUUACUG
rnacentral:rRNA from 1 species